rnacentral:lncRNA from 1 species
GGAGGGGAGCCAGAAAGAGGUUUACAAAAAAAAACAACAACAACAAAAUAAAACACACACAAAAAAAUACAAAAACAAACAAACAAAAAAAAAAACAAAAAAAAAUCAACUUUUUUUUAACAAAAAAGAAAGAUUAAUAAAAAAAUUCUUUUUUCCCUCAA